rnacentral:lncRNA from 1 species
GGCACAGAAAAAUCAUCCACCUUUUAUGGACGAGUUGGAAGGGAAACAGAGAGGAACAGGAACCCGAGGGCCAACCGGAGAUUUUAAUCACUUUUUGGAGAGAAGAGUAGAAGGAAAAGGAAAGGCCACAGCACGGACAACAAAUGGGACAGUAAAAGAACCACUCAAAACAAUCCUGAAAACCAUCAGAAAGCUACUACCUUUUGGGAAGUUGAAAUGAAGGCGUGGAAGGCUGUUAACGCCACUUAAAAAAAAAAGUGGCUUUGGGAACCUCCACCAGAAACAGCAUCAGCAAGCUAGAAAGACGGAACUGAACAGGGAAGACUCAUUAGAAGCCUAAUCUAACCCCUAGAAGAUUUUUGAGGGAGUCCAAUUGCAGCAACCAAGUCAGGCUUACCCCUUGCUGAUGUCCAAGGACUUUGAGCUUGGGAGGGUCACAGGAUUCUCGUGGGCAGCAACUCUUCCUAUCUGGGCCUCAGGGACACUUAGGGAGAAAUGGCCAUUCUCCAUAAAGGGCCCCCAUUGCUCCCCUCCCCCUUCCCAAACAGCUCAGUUUCCAUGUGGUGUCUGGGUUAAUUAAUAUGGAUGUGUAACUGCGCUGCAGCAAUCGAUAGCCCUGCUGUGGGCAGAUCCCAGCCCCAAAAUCCAAUUACUCUAAAAACCUCCAAAAAAUGAAUAAAGUGACUAGGAGUGCCAACUCCUAAAAAUGGGGGAGGGGAGAUUCUUAUUAGCCUUGUCCUCUCAGGUUGGUCUGGUAGAUUCCAGGCUGGGGUGCUUCUAUUCGAUGAGAACAGCCCCAGAAAGGGACUAAAUUCGGGAAUAUAUCUGUUCCUUUUGCAUAUCUGUUCCUUUUGCUUCAAGUCUCUUUCCUUUGCUUCAGAUGUUUGGCUUCUGUCCCAGCAUCCAGAUCCCAGAGAUAAAAGAACCAAGCAGGGGAAAGAAAAACUGGCUUUUAGAUCCCUGAGUGUACCCCCUCAUCCCCCAGUGAAGAAGGUCUCGCAGCCAGGGAAGGGUUAAGUGUCCCCACUGCAGUUAUGGAGAGGAAGCUGAUGAAAUAUGGGCCCUUGGAACUCCAGGCUGGGCCAGCUUUCCUGUUUAUACUUCUUCAUACUUCCUCCCACCCCAGUGGCCACAGAGAAACAAAACAAAACAAGCAAUCAAAUAAAACAAAACAAAAUCAAAUUGUCCUCCCAGUGGAGGCCAAGCUGGGCUCUGCCCCUAGGGCAGAUGAUUUGCCUAGAGGGUGCUGGCUCGGUUUGUGGCUCAGAGAAGUUGAGGCCUAGACAGGCGGAGGAGAGAGAAAACAGUAAAGAGAGAGAAGAGGGCUGGGGGGCACGAAGGCAGCAUUUUCAGAGAGGGCAAGGGCGGGAGAGAGGAAGAAUAAAAAAGGGAGGAAAGGAGAAGGAAGAAAGGAGGAGGAAGGGAGGAAGGCAGAGGCAACACAAGUCUGGGGCAAG